rnacentral:rRNA from 1 species
ACCAUGGGAGCCGGUAAUACCCGAAGUCAGUAGUCUAACCGCAAGGGGACGCUGCCGAAGGUAGGAUUGGCGACUGGGGUGAAGUCGUAACAAGGUACC